rnacentral:rRNA from 1 species
AACGAACGCUGGCGGCGUGCCUAACACAUGCAAGUCGAACGUGAAAGGGCUUCGGCCUGAGUAAAGUGGCGCACGGGUGAGUAACGCGUGGGUAAUCUGCCUCUGGGCGGGGGAUAACGGGUCGAAAGACCCGCUAAUACCGCAUGAGACCACGGCCCUGUGGGGCUGUGGGGAAAAGAUGGGGAUCUUCGGACCUGUCACCUGGAGAUGAGCCCGCGUACCAUUAGGUAGUUGGUGGGGUAAUGGCCCACCAAGCCGAAGAUGGUUAGCUGGUCUGAGAGGAUGAUCAGCCACACUGGAACUGAGACACGGUCCAGACUCCUACGGAGGCAGCAGUGGGAUAUUGCGCAAUGGGGGAAACCCUGACGCAGCAACGCCGCGUGUGUGAUGAAGGCCUUCGGGUCGUAAAGCACUUUUCUGGGAGAUGAGCAAGGACUAGUAUCUCAGGAAUAAGUCUCGGCUAACUACGUGCCAGCAGCGCGGUAAU